rnacentral:misc_RNA from 1 species
AUUACAGGUUCCUUGCAAGCCCCAAUAAACUUGACUAGAUUUUUGUGUUGAACUCUAGAUAACAUUGCAACCUCUCUCGCAAACCUUGCUUCUCUCUUGGCAAUCUCUUCUGGGGUUUCUCCUCUAUGAACAACUUUAAUAGCAACAUUUUGAUUCUUAUACUUUCCCUCAUAAACUUUGGCAUGAGCACCUUCUCCAAUCUUUGGUCCAACAAAAAGAAGCUUAGGAUCAACCAGCCACUUAUCAUCCAAAUUGAAUUCACCAGAAUAAAACGCAUUAUUAGAUCCCAUUUCGGACUCAACACUGUAUUAUCAGCUAAUGAAGUACCAUCUAUUGACUUGAAAAACCAAAGAAAACGCCUUCUGUACAAAGUGUUUAGAAUUUGAAGUAAACUACAAGGCUCAGUCAAUUUAAAGAAAUGGGGAAGGGGGAUAAAAACUUUAAAUAGAUAUGCCCCGUAUUGUACCCCAAAAUCACGCCUGCAGAUCCAGAAAGAUCAACAUUUGCCUUUGUUUAGGAGGCAAAGAAUAAAACCCCACAUGUUUUAGAGUCAGUCACCAACAGAAUAAGAAAUAAAAAAAUGGGAAUUAUUAAAACAAAGAAGAAACAAGAAAGCUCCCAACCCCUACCCAACAAGCUCUGCCAGCAAAACAGAGUAGUGAAUAAAACUUUGUGGAAGUGAGGAAAGUGGCAGAAGAUAAGAAGAAAAUAUCAACGAAGGAUUUGAAGUACAGGGUAAAAGAGAAGGACCCAGAUGAGGAUUUGGUGUUGAGAGAUUAGUUUAAGCUCUCUCUCUCUCUCUC